GGUUCAUUCAAAUUUCUUCCCUAUCAACUUUCGAUGGCUGGGUCUUGGCAGCCAUGGUAACAACGGGUAACGGAGGGUUAGGGCUCGACCCCGGAGAAGGAGCCUGAGAAACGGCUACUACAUCCAAGGAAGGCAGCAGGCGCGCAAAUUACCCAAUCCCGACCGGGGAGGUAGUGACAAUAAAUACUGAUACAGGGCUCUUUUGGGUCUUGUAAUUGGAAUGAGUACAAUUUAAAUCCCUUAACGAGGAACAAUUGGAGGGCAAGUCUGGUGCCAGCAGCCGCGGUAAUUCCAGCUCCAAUAGCGUAUAUUAAAGUUGUGAGGUUAAAAAGCUCGUAGUUG
rnacentral:rRNA from 1 species